rnacentral:rRNA from 1 species
UGCAAGUCGAACGCGCUCCAUUCGGUAGCAAUACUGAUGAAGAGUGAGUGGCGAACGGGUGAGUAACACAUGAGCAACCUGCCCCGAAGACUGGGACAACACCGGGAAACCGGUGCUAAUACCGGAUAUCCCUAUCGGACCGCAUGAUCUGAUAAGGAAAUGUUUUUCGCUUCGGGAGGGGCUCGUGGCCUAUCAGCUAGUUGGUGAGGUAAUAGCUCACCAAGGCAUCGACGGGUAGCUGGUCUGAGAGGACGAUCAGCCACACUGGGACUGAGACACGGCCCAGACUCCUACGGGAGGCAGCAGUGGGGAAUCUUGCGCAAUGGGCGAAAGCCUGACGCAGCAACGCCGCGUGGAGGACGAAUGCUUUCUGAGUUGUAAACUCCUUUCAGCAGGGACGAUUGUGACGGUACCUGCAGAAGAAGCACCGGCCAACUACGUGCCAGCAGCCGCGGUGAUACGUAGGGUGCAAGCGUUAUCCGGAAUUAUUGGGCGUAAAGAGCUCGUAGGCGGUUUGAUUAGUCGGGUGUGAAACCUCCAGGCUUAACCUGGAGCCGCCAUUCGAUACUGUCAUGACUAGAAUUCGGUAGGGGACCACGGAAUUCCUGGUGUAGCGGUGAAAUGCGCAGAUAUCAGGAGGAACACCAGCAGCGAAGGNNGGUGGUCUGGGCCGACAUUGACGCUGAGGAGCGAAAG